rnacentral:rRNA from 1 species
AGAGUUUGAUCCUGGCUCAGGACGAACGCUGGCGGCGUGCCUAAUACAUGCAAGUCGAGCGGACAGAUGGGAGCUUGCUCCCUGAUGUUAGCGGCGGACGGGUGAGUAACACGUGGGUAACCUGCCUGUAAGACUGGGAUAACUCCGGGAAACCGGGGCUAAUACCGGAUGGUUGUUUGAACCGCAUGGUUCAAACAUAAAAGGUGGCUUCGGCUACCACUUACAGAUGGACCCGCGGCGCAUUAGCUAGUUGGUGAGGUAACGGCUCACCAAGGCAACGAUGCGUAGCCGACCUGAGAGGGUGAUCGGCCACACUGGGACUGAGACACGGCCCAGGCUCCUACGGGAGGCAGCAGUAGGGAAUCUUCCGCAAUGGACGAAAGUCUGACGGAGCAACGCCGCGUGAGUGAUGAAGGUUUUCGGAUCGUAAAGCUCUGUUGUUAGGGAAGAACAAGUACCGUUCGAAUAGGGCGGUACCUUGACGGUACCUAACCAGAAAGCCACGGCUAACUACGUGCCAGCAGCCGCGGUAAUACGUAGGUGGCAAGCGUUGUCCGGAAUUAUUGGGCGUAAAGGGCUCGCAGGCGGUUUUCUUAAGUCUGAUGUGAAAGCCCCCGGCUCAACCGGGGAGGGUCAUUGGAAACUGGGGAACUUGAGUGCAGAAGAGGAGAGUGGAAUUCCACGUGUAGCGGUGAAAUGCGUAGAGAUGUGGAGGAACACCAGUGGCGAAGGCGACUCUCUGGUCUGUAACUGACGCUGAGGAGCGAAAGCGUGGGGAGCGAACAGGAUUAGAUACCCUGGUAGUCCACGCCGUAAACGAUGAGUGCUAAGUGUUAGGGGGUUUCCGCCCCUUAGUGCUGCAGCUAACGCAUUAAGCACUCCGCCUGGGGAGUACGGUCGCAAGACUGAAACUCAAAGGAAUUGACGGGGGCCCGCACAAGCGGUGGAGCAUGUGGUUUAAUUCGAAGCAACGCGAAGAACCUUACCAGGUCUUGACAUCCUCUGACAAUCCUAGAGAUAGGACGUCCCCUUCGGGGGCAGAGUGACAGGUGGUGCAUGGUUGUCGUCAGCUCGUGUCGUGAGAUGUUGGGUUAAGUCCCGCAACGAGCGCAACCCUUGAUCUUAGUUGCCAGCAUUCAGUUGGGCACUCUAAGGUGACUGCCGGUGACAAACCGGAGGAAGGUGGGGAUGACGUCAAAUCAUCAUGCCCCUUAUGACCUGGGCUACACACGUGCUACAAUGGACAGAACAAAGGGCAGCGAAACCGCGAGGUUAAGCCAAUCCCACAAAUCUGUUCUCAGUUCGGAUCGCAGUCUGCAACUCGACUGCGUGAAGCUGGAAUCGCUAGUAAUCGCGAAUCAGCAUGCCGCGGUGAAUACGUUCCCGGGCCUUGUACACACCGCCCGUCACACCU